rnacentral:lncRNA from 1 species
AUUAAUGACCCGGAGCCACAUGACGGAGCAUGACACAGCACUUUUGGGCACAAGGCAGGGCCCAGAGGGGUGCGUGGGGGCCGCAGCCCAGCCCCCAAGCCCCGCCAGCGGCUUUACUGGGGUGUAACAAACACACGAUAAACUGCGCAUAUUCCAGUGUUCAUGUGGAUGAGUUUGGACAUAUGCACACACUUCCGAAACCACCAGCACAAUCAAGACAGCAGACAUAUCCAUCGCCCCCAAGGGUGUCCUUGUGUCUUUUUGUCAUUCAUCCCUCCCGGCCGCCCCAUCCACACUCCCAUCGCCUGCCGACUGUGGCUGAUCUGCUUUCUGCGGCUGUGGAUUAGUUUGCGUUCUCUACAAUUUUCUGAAGCACCAGUUAGCCCAGAUGCUUCUCAUCUUUGGAGUUGAGCUGCAGGCUGGAGACCUGGAAGGCCCUCGCAGCGCCUGCUCCCAUCCUCUCACCUCACGAAAGCGCAGGAAUGUGGGUUUGGAGCCAAUGAAAAGUACUGGAAUCUGGCUCUGCUCUGUGACCCUGGACAAGUCACUGCCCCUCUCUGGGCUUCAGUUUCCUCCUUGGUAACACAGAAUGAUUAUACCUACCCCUUGGGUUUGUUGACCUGAAUCUACCCCUCAGUCAUUGCCUUUCCUUCUUGCUGCAGCCACACUGGCCCCUUGACAGUUCCUUGAACACAACAAGCCCUUUCCCACCUCAGGGCCUUUGCAUGUGCAGUGCCAGAUGCCUGGAAUGUCCUUCCUUCCAAUCUCCCCAUGGCCGGCUCAUUCUCAUCUUUCUUGGCUCAAAUGUUACCUCCCCAACCUAGACAGCACCGCUGCCACCUCUUCACCCCGUCUUACUCUUCUUCAAGCACUUCUGGAGGUAUCUUGCUAUUUAUCUUGUUUAUAUCUUUUUCAGCUCCAUGAGGGCAGGGGAUUUUGUCUGUUUCAUUCACAAUGUGUUCCCAGAGCUCAGCACAGUGUCAGGCACACACUAGGUGAGUAAGAAACAAUUGCUUCCUCUACCUCUUCCCCUGCUAGCCCCAAGUUCAGCUAACUGGCUGUGUGACCCUGGGGAUUGCUUUUCACCUCUCUGGUCCCUUAUUCUCCCUUGUGGACAAAGGAUGGCCUGGGCAUGAGUUUCUUCAAGGACUCGGGUAGCAGUGAAAUCCCUGGGACCCUAGCCUCAGUACCUCCCCAGGCAAUGGGGUAGAGAGCAAGAAGGCAGGUGAGCAAGGACCAGCCUCCGCCACGCAGACACCCUCUUUCCGGCUUCUCUGUCCUCCUACUUUGCCCUGGGUUUGUGGACUUACUCUGGGCAGAUCUCCACGACCAACCACCCCCUCCCUUGGCAUGUCUGUCAGCACCCUUGGGGGAAAGAAUUUGGAAAGGGGAGGGAGAAAAAGAAAGCAGGGUGCGAGGGGCUGGUUCCCACACCUGUGUAAAUAAUUUGUCAUCUUAAAAUGCUCAAGUAUGCUCACCUUUAAUGCCUGGUUCUUGGGCUUAUUUUCCUUGGCAAGGCCCCCACGGGAGUGGAAUUUCGGCCAAAGGGAGCCCAGUUGUCAUCUUCUAAACAUGUUCCCAGGCCGGGGGCCGGGGAGGGCUCUGGCUGAUGCUCCACUUCCGUCCCCAGAAGUGCUGGAACGUUCCUGGGAUCUAGGGAGCUGACUCCAGUCCUGGAAGCUGUCCCAGAAUUCUGGAAUGUUGGAAUUCAAACGGCCUCCUGCCCAUUUUCCGGAGGAGGAACAUAAGACCCAGAGAGGGGAAGGGGUUGGCCUGAGGUCAUACAAUGUGCAGAGACGAGCUAGAGUUUGCUGGGAGAAGGUGCGGGUGUGUGGACAAGUCAGCAUCUAUCUCCCAUUUUCAGGUAACAGCACCUCGACUUCCUACUGAAGAACCCCCUCUUCCCUUUUCUCAGUCCAUGAGGCUGGGGGUGCCCAGAGGCCUCUGUCUCCAGGGGUGGACAUGUGACCGGGUCUUGCUCUAGUGAUUGGUCCAGGGAUGGGCACAUGACUGAGCCUGCCCAAUGAAACUUGAUCUUGGGACUUCAGGGUUGGCCAUGAUUUGUGAAGGAGAUGCCAUUUUCCAUUGGAUGGACAGUGAGCAAGUGAACGCUUAGAGAAGAAGAGGACAAAACAAGGGAAAAGCCUGCCUGACAGGAAGCAGCACAGAGCUGGACAGGCUUUGAACUCCUGGAUCCCACUGUACCUGAAAUUAGGCACCUUCAACUUUCUAGUUAUGUGAGCCACUGUCUUUCCCAUUUUUGGCUGAAAACAGUUGGGACUGGCUUUCUGUCCCUUGCAUACAGAAGGUGCUGACUGACCCCUGCCCCAUGGAAGAAGAUACUCCAGGCAGAGGAAAUAGUGUGUAUAGACACCCCUAAGCGAAUGCCAAGCGGGGCACUCAUGUACCAAGAAGAAGGAGGAGGAGGCACCUGGGAGCUGAGCUUAAGAGUUAGUCGGGUGGUCAAGGUGGGAGAAGGGGGUAUCUUUAGCAGAGGGAACAACCAUUGCAAAAGCUUGGAGGGGUGACUAGUUAGUGAAGAUCAACUGUGUGCUGAGCUCGUGUUGGGUGGCAAGGGACACAGACGAAAAGGGCACGGUGGAACCCAGCUACUUCUCACCUGCUCCAGCGCAGUGCAGGCUUGUCUGCUUUUGGAGCCGAGCCUGGACACCUCCGUGUCCUUCCCCCGGCAGAGUGCUGCCAGCACGCUGUCUCAGACUCUCCAGCAUCUCCUGGUUGAUGUGCAUCAUGGGGACCACACAAGAUUAUUUUAUAGGCUGCACAGGCAAAGCAUAAAAUCACCUCGGGUCACAUAGCGAGAGUUAUUCUCUCUGCAAAUUCUUUACAGUCUUUCCUUUAUAUCCAGAAGAGUCUCUGUGUGGUGCUAACUUGCCUCGAAGACCAAAUAAUUGCUAGUCUCCCUUUGUGAAAAGGAGAGCAGGUGUCAGGCUCAUUCAUGUCUCAGGCACACAAUUGUAUCUAGCUAGACUUUUCAAAAUGUCCUAUAGAGCUGCAGCACAUAUGAAUGAGGUGUCCAGCUGGUCCCAAACCUGUAAUCGGCACCCCAGUGAGCAGACUGGACAUCCCCACCCCCACAGCUGCCCUUUCUCCCCUCCACUCAUGUUCCCUCUAGGGCCACCACGAUCCCGACUUGUAUCACCACAGAUGAGUUUCACAUGUUUUUGAAUUUUACAUCUUAUCUGUUUUCUGUUCCUAUACAAGUUUGCCUUUUUUGAAUUCCAUAUAAGUGGGAUUCUACAAUGUGUUAUCUCAAUUUGAGUCUGUUUUUUUUUUCCUGCUCAGCAUGAUGUUUUUGAGAUGCAUAUAUGCGGUUUUGUGUAUCUGUAGAUGGUUCUUUUUUAUUGCAGAAUAAUGUUCCAGGGUAUGGAUGUACCAAAGCUUGUUCAUCCAUUCACCAGCUGAGGGAUAUUUGGACUGUUUCCAGUUUUCAGCCAUUAUAAAUAAAGCCACUAGAAACAUUUGCAAACAGGUUUUUAUGUGAACAUAAAUUUUUGUUUAUCUUGGGUAAAUUUCUAGGAGUGGAAUUGCUGGGCCAGGUGGCCAAGUGUAUGUUUCACUUUAUCAGAAACCGCUGAGCUGUUUUCCAAGGUGUCUGUACCAUUUUUCAUCCCUACCAGCAAUGUAUGAAAGUGUCAGUUGCUUCGUAUUCUCACCAGCACUUGGUGGUGUUAGUUUUUUGUGUGUGUACAUGUGUUUUACUUUUAGUCAUUCAAAUAGGUGAUAAUAGUAUCUCAUUGUGGUGUUAGUUUGCAUUUCCCUAAUGACUAAUGAUGUUGAACAUCUUUGUAUGUGUUUCUUUGCCAUCCGUAUAUUUUCUUUGGUGUAGUAUCUGUUCAAACUUUAUGUCAGUUAAAAAAAAAGACCCAAUUGUUUUCUUCUUAAUAGAUUUGGAGAGUUCUUUAUAUAUAUUCUGGAUACUAGUCAAGCCUUUGUGAAAUAUGUGAUUUGCAAAUAUUUUCUCCUGUUCUGUGGCUUGUCUUUUUAUUCUUUCAAUAGGUAGACUUUAAUAACAUCGUUUUGUUUUCUUUUUAAGUAUUUUUCUGGUUAUCUUUGAUUUGUGGCAUGUAUUCUUUGGUUUUUCAAUUUUAGUGAUAACACCAAAUGUUUUCUUUUAAAAUGAAUUUAUUUAAGUAAAAACGUCAGUAAAUUUGAAGAAACACAUUAAAUAAGGAAUAGUAGAAGUGGACAGUAGACAGCAUAAAAAUCGUGAAGGCAGUUUCCAAUUUGCAUAACCAAAGUGUGGGCAGCUCCGAUUCGUUCGUCAACAAAUACUGAUGGAGCCCCCACUGUCCACCAGGCUCUGAGCCAGGUGCUGGGGACACAGCACCAAGCGAGAUAGUUGUUUGCUCUUUUAAUGCUGGUUUUUCUCCAGUGAGUCUCUCUUCAUCUUUCAAAAGCCAAUUUGAAUGACCCUUCCUUCAUCCAGACCUUCCCUGGAAUGUUUGUCACACUCUACUGCAAAUUUCUAUUUCUGUAUCUCCCAGGCAAGGGGCAUGUCGGGCAGCCUCUGGUAGGGUUGUAGAGAGCUUGGUGCAUAGAUAUCUCAAUAAAUAGCCUCUCACAUAGUACAAGCUAUGAUGAGGUGCUGAAGACCAGUUGCUGAUUCAAUUGGUUGAAACUAGCCAGGCCUGAUGAAGGGGCCUGAGGACCUUCCCUGCUGCAGUCUGGCUGACCCCAAGCAAACCAAAGUCUCUCCCCUUGGCCUCCCCUCCCACAUAAAGAUACCAAGAGAAAAAGCCUCCCAAACCCACUGCCUUCAGCCUCUGCUAUUUGCUUCCCAUCCAGUGCCCAUGGAUGCCUUUCCUGCAAGACACAGUAUUCACACAGACACUUACCAGGCAUCUUUGUUCUGACCUGCCCCAGGACCACCACUUUCACCUUGGCCUCUUACCACCAUUCCCCUGUUCCUCCACUCCAGCACACCAGCCAGUGUUUGCCCCUCCAACAUGCCCAGCUCAUUCCCACCCCUGGGCCUUUGCAC